rnacentral:rRNA from 1 species
UACGGGGGGGGCAAGCGUUGUUCGGAAUUACUGGGCGUAAAGGGCUCGUAGGCGGCCAAUUAAGUCAGACGUGAAAUCCCCAGGCUCAACCUGGGAACUGCGUCUGAUACUGGAUGGCUUGAAUCCGGGAGAGGGAUGCGGAAUUCCAGGUGUAGCGGUGAAAUGCGUAGAUAUCUGGAGGAACACCGGUGGCGAAGGCGGCAUCCUGGACCGGUAUUGACGCUGAGGCGCGAAAGCCAGGGGAGCAAACGGG